UCCAGCUUAUCGCUGGCGGUCUCCUGAGAGUGCUUCCCUUGCGGGAGUGGCAACACAGGACGAGGGUUGCGCUCGUUGCGGGACUUAACCCAACAUCUCACGACACGAGCUGACGACAGCCGUGCAUCACCUGUCCUGCACCUUCGAAAGCUUCCUAGGUUUCCCUAGGCGUGCAGCAGGAUGUCUAAUCUUGGUAAGGUUCUUCGUUUAGCGACGAAUUGAGCCACACGCUCCACCGCUUGUGCGAGCUCCCGUCUAUUCCUUUGAGUUUUAGCCUUGCGGCCGUACUACCCAGGCGGAUGACUUAACGCGUUAGCUUCGCCUCCCAGAGGGUCGAUACUCCGGAAAGCCAGUCAUCAUCGUUUAGGGCGUGGACUA
rnacentral:misc_RNA from 1 species